CAAUAGCGUAUAUUAAAGUUGUUGCGGUUAAAAAGCUCGUAGUUGGAUUUCUGCUGAGAACGACCGGUCCGCCCUUUGGGUGUGUAUCUGGCUCUUUCUUGGCAUCUUCUUGGUGAACGUUGCUGCACUUGACUGUGUGGAGCGCUACCCAGGACUUUUACUUUGAGGAAAUUAGAGUGUUUCAAGCAGGCAUACGCCUUGAAUACAUUAGCAUGGAAUAAUAAGAUAGGACCUCGGUUCUAUUUUGUUGGUUUCUAGAGCUGAGGUAAUGAUUAAUAGGAUCAGUUUGGGGGCAUUAGUAUUUAAUUGUCAGAGGUGAAAUUCUUGGAUUUAUUAAAGACUAACUUAUGCGAAAGCAUUUGCCAAGGAUGUUUUCAUUAA
rnacentral:rRNA from 1 species